GGCGAGUCCGGCUCUCGCGAGACUUGGCGGGCGGAGGGGAAGGGCGAGUCCGGCUCUCGCGAGAGUUGGAGGGCGGAGGGAAGGGCCGCGCCCUGGGAACAUGGCGGGCGUGGGGCGGGCACGGGUGCCGGGGAUCUGCAGCUCUUUCAGCCGCCCUCAGGCUCCCUCAUCGCCCCCCAGCGCGGGGAGCCUCGGGGAGAGGCUACGCGCAGGGCUCUGGCUGGAUAUGGGCGUCGUGGUGGUGCCAGGCGGCCGCUUGUGCUACCCAGCGCCCUCAGGAACAGCCCGGCGGUGAUGAGGGGUCGGUGCCCCCUCAGAGCCACGGGAGGGGCUUCAGGUGCAGUGAUCCACGUAGGUGGUUUGGGAAAAAAGCUCUUGGAAGGCCACACAUAUAAAUAAAAAAAUAAAUUGGGGAAUGGUCCCUUGCGAGACAUAAAAUACUACAUUUCAUGUACUUUUGCAACUUUUUUUAGUAACCUUUCCUUUAAGUAAUUUUUAAAGUGUUAAAGUUUCUCCUUUUGAAAAUGCUGUGGGUCCUUAGUGCUCAGUGAGCAUAUUCAGUAAUAUUGCUAGUCAUCUUUUCAUGUGCACAGUUAUCUUUGAGGUCUUUUUCAGCCUAAAUUAUUUUAUUUUUUGUACUAAUUUGGAAAAAAAAUGGGCUUGAGAGUGACUAAAUGAUCAUCGUUCCUUGGGGUUCCUUAGGUCUUUUCCAACCUUAAAAAUCCCACAAUUCUUGCAUCUGUUUUUAUUUCCCUGACCAGGCUGUCACUUUGAAGGGAAGGCAACAAAAUCUCUAAAAUUCCAGCUCCACACAUUGAAAAUGGAAAUAAUUCCACAGUGCCCCUCCUUUGCCACGUGCACAUCACAGUCACACAAGACAGAGGCUGUUUGAUGUUACCAAAGAGCUGGUGCAGGAUGGGUUUGGACAUUUGGCAAAAUCCUGGAGCCAUCCUUGCCCAGGGAAAGGCCUUGUUCCUCCAAGGACACAAAGGUGACACAAAGGUGACACAAAGAAUUACUUGGCAAAGCUGAUGGUGCACAGGGGACCAGACUCCGAGAGGAAAACCAAGCCUUGCUGAAAGCUGAAAGCACAGAUUGCACCCUGGAUGAAUGUGGGCAGGAGCUGGAUGAAUAAAGAGGGCUUCACUCGUAGCAACAGUUCACUUAAACCCAUUUCCAAUACUUGCUGUAAUAGAAAAAAACCUUUGUCAUGCAGAGAAAGGCAAGACAAAAGCCAUGUCUGAGAAAAACCAUUUGAAAAAAAAACCCUACCACAAAGCCCAUCCUGGUCCUGGACUUCUGAAACAGUUCCAAAGAGCAACUCCAGGUGUGUAGGACAAAAUCAGGACAUCAAUGCAUAAUGCUUGUUCUCCAUCAGAGAGAUUUUAAUUUAUCCUGUCAACAUGAGUUUAUUAAUAAUUUAAAAUGGCACCGUGAUCCUUAUGUGGGAGGUCCAAUAAAAUGAAAAUUCAAGCAAUGAGAAUGGAGAUGCAGUAGAUUCCUGUUUAUU